UGCCGAAUCAACUAGCCCUGAAAAUGGAUGGCGCUUGAGCGAGGGACCUAUACCCAGCCGUUGCUGGCUUGUGCGUUGUCUAUCGCCUGGCCGCAACGAGUAGGAGGGUCGUGGCGGUUGCGUCGAAGGCUUUGGGCGUAGGCCCAGCUGGAGCUUCCGUCAGUGCAGAUCUCGGUGGUAGUAGCAAAUAUUUAAGUUCGAUCCUUGAAGACUGAAGUGGAGAAGGGUUCCACGUGAACAGUAGUUGAAUGUGGGUCAGUCGAUCCUAAGAUACUGGCUUAUGCCUUGUAUCAUUGAGAGGGAAAAGUUUCUUUUCUCUCGGAUAUCAAAAGGGAAUAGGGUUAAUAUUCCCUAACGCAGACACAGAGAUUGCGGCUCUUUGAGUCGCUUGCGCGGUAACGCAUUCGAACUUGGUUACGUCGCUCAGAGACCGAGCUAGAGUUCUCUUCUCUAGUUAAGGAACGGACUCCCUGGAAUCGGUUCAGCCGUAGAUAGGGACGUUGUUUCCGUAAAGCAUCGCGGUUUCUGUGAUGUCUCGUGUUCUCUGGACGGCCCUUGAAAAACCAAGGAAGGCUAUCAAUCUGUGCUGCAUCGUACCGAUAUCCG
rnacentral:rRNA from 1 species